rnacentral:lncRNA from 1 species
UUGACAAGACUCAUCUAUAACGCCCGUGUCAGGCCUAUAUCACAGGCCAAAUUGGCCGACCAUUUCAUACUUUUUUUUUUUCAUUUCAUAUUUUUUUUCUAAUUUUGCCCUUGAAGCCAAAUAGUCCCCCACUAUAAAUAGGCUAUUCCGACGACCAUCAACGAUCACCGACGACCACCGAGCACCUCCAGACACCUCCGACAAUCACUAUUCACCGCCGACGACUGCCAAUCACUCUACCAACCGGUUCAAACCACAACUUAGUUGCGAAAUAAACACCAUUGCACCAUAAAUUAUGUCCAUCUGCGUUGGAUAACUUGAUUAACAAUCUAUGGCACAAAUAAUCAUUCAACCCUUAAUGGCAUAACCUUUAAGGUGGACAUGGCAGUAUAUAAUUCAACUUCGUUAAAAUAUGACAGUAUAUAAUUUAACCCCAAAAUUCGAUUGUACACUACGAAAAACUCCCAUCUACAAUCUACUAUAAAAAAAAAACUCAUUUGAUGAUAUACUACAAAAACACUCUCAUUUUGAUAGCUCUCUAAAUUUUUUUGUUCUCAUUCCGUUUACACUAUCAGAACCUAAACCACCUACUGUAUAUAAAGUAGGGUGCCGACAGGCCAACACCAAAAAAAUUUAAAUUUUUUUUAAUACUGGUGCCGACCAUUGACCAGCCAAUACUGUGGCAGACCCAUUUUGCCCAGGCCUUUGAAAUUAUUUACAACAAAUAAAUAAAUAAAUAAACUAAAUAAAAUUAAAUUGUUUGCAGUCAUAAAAUACAAACCCAAACUUGAGACCUAAAACCAAGAAUAAACCGGACCCAACAAAUAACCCAAAUCCCAGCCCAAAACAAAAAAAACUACUCAGCAAACCCUAAGAGCUUCAGUUGCUGCAGCCUCCAACUGCCUCCUCCACGCCAGCACGCCCACAAACAGCUUCACUCUAUGCCAUACACACCUGCAAAACGGAAUAACAAAUAGCAAUUGACAGCAAAGGAAUAAGAAUAACAAGGAUUUUUUUUAUUUUCUUUUUCUUUUUAUUUUUAUUUAUUUUUCGGCUAUAAAACUGAAUGAAAGGAUGUAAAAGGGGAAGGGACGAGUCUAUACAAAAUCGAUUCAAAAGUUUGAAUAAAAAGAGAAACAGUCUCUAAGAGGUGAUUUGAGAUUUCAUUUUUUCCUUUUCGAUUUUGUUUUUUUUCUUUGAUCUUCAUUGUUGUGCAUAAAAUAUAAAAUAAAUAAAAGCCUAAACACUUAUCUGUUAGAAGGAGCCUUAGAAUCCCUGUUUACUUUGUUGAAAUUGAAGCUCAAUGGGGAUUCAAGUGGUCUGAUUUGAUGAUAUGGAGGCAAAGAGUGAAGAACCUUUUGGUUCAGUCGACUAAAGGGGAAAAGGGGUUGAAAGGGGAAAAGGGGUUGAAAAUUUUUGAGAGAAGGGUUUUGAAAGUUGUUUUGAGAAGAAUAAUCGGUCAGAGGUUAUUAUGGCCUUGCCUUUUCACCUUAAAAGGUCAAUUUUCGCGUCGAGUCCCUCUUAUUCUACAUUUAUUUGUUUUUCAG